UAGAAAGUAUCAGGAAUCAGAAUGAUUUUGGACUUCUCAAAGCAACACUGAGGCAAAUCAUAUAGAGCUAGAAGACAACAGGAUUCUGAAGGAAAAUUCUUUCUGACCCAUAAUUCUAAGCUGACUCAAACUAUUCACUUGCAUGUGAAGAUAAAACAAAAUUUCUGCUUUUAGACAUACAAAGUCUCAGAAUAUUUCUAUUUAUCAUUUCUUAUGAUGCUACUAGGAAAUAUACCAAGUACAGAAUGGGAACAAACCAAGAAACAAGAACCAUGGGAUAUAGCAGAACAAAAAGAAGAUCCACCCCUGGAGAGAGAUUGUCACUGGCAGGGAGAAGAUGUGAGGAAGUCUAUAGGUGAAGCAAGAAAGGCAGUCCCAUUUGUACACGAAAUGUUCACCUGUCAUCUGGUGUGACCUAAAGCCAUCCUGGGAUCAAUCAGAGGCAUCAUCAAUCUGAAAGGCAAUGGGUAUUUCAGAGCAAGGAUCUCAAAAACCCUCAGAGGAGACAGGCACAGCCACUUCCAAAGGACUGCUGACAUGUCUGUGGAGCCUAAAGAGAGGAUUGGGUCAUCAACCAGGAUGUGGGAAGUGCAGAGGGUAAACCAUUCUCACCACCACAGGUGAAAGACACUACAGCCUGCAGGUGCUGUGAUCGUGGGCAGCACUGCAAUCAGAACGUAGAUGGAUGGCCAAGAGCAGAAUUUAUUUAUAAGUGAUGUAUGUACAUCCUCCUUCCAACAAUCAUGGUCAACGACAAGAUGCUUCUUCAAAAACAUUGGCAUUAUCUUCAAUAGUUCAAACAACACGGUUGCUGUAUAUUAACUUAUUAAGAAGUAUUAAGUAAAUCAGUCCCUGAACAAUGUAUAAUAAA